UAUUCUGCCCYAYGGGGAAGGAUGAGAAGCUUCGACUAAGGUUCGACUCGAGCGWAGCGAGAGAACGUUGCCGCAGGCAACGGCCCGAAGGGCGAGGCGCUUUAGCGCCGAGUWAUCCUUCCCCCACCACCA
rnacentral:sRNA from 1 species